GAUGAACGCUAGCUACAGGCUUAACACAUGCAAGUCGAGGGACCGGCGCACGAGUGAGUAACACGUAUCCAACCUGCCCUUUACUCGGGGAUAGCCUUUCGAAAGAAAGAUUAAUACCCGAUAUAAAGGAUGGGGAUGCGUUCCAUUAGGUUGUUGGUGAGGUAACGGCUCACCAAGCCUUCGAUGGAUAGGGGUUCUGAGAGGAAGGGCCCCUUCAUUGGAACUGUGACACGUGCCAAAGUCCUACGGGGUGCAGCAGUGAGGCAUAUCGGUCAAUGGGCGCUAGCCUGAACCAGCAAAGUAGCGGGAAGGAUGAACGCUUAUGGGUCUUAAACUUCUUAUAUACAAGAAUAUGUAUUAUAUGAAUAAGUAUCGGCUAACUCCGUGCCAGCAGCCGCGGUAAUAC
rnacentral:rRNA from 1 species